rnacentral:rRNA from 1 species
UAAUGUAUGGGGAUCUGCCCGAUAGAGGGGGAUAACUACUGGAAACGGUGGCUAAUACCGCAUAAUGUCUACGGACCAAAGCAGGGGCUCUUCGGACCUUGCACUAUCGGAUGAACCCAUAUGGGAUUAGCUAGUAGGUGGGGUAAAGGCUCACCUAGGCGACGAUCUCUAGCUGGUCUGAGAGGAUGAUCAGCCACACUGGGACUGAGACACGCCCAG